CGUAGGGUGCGAGCGUUGUCCGGAAUUAUUGGGCGUAAAGAGCUUGUAGGCGGUUAGUCGCGUCGGAAGUGAAAACUCGGGCCUUAAUCCCGAGCUUGCUUCCGAUACGGGCUGACUAGAGGAAGGUAGGGGAGAAUGGAAUUCCUGGUGGAGCGGUGGAAUGCGCAGAUAUCAGGAGGAACACCAGUGGCGAAGGCGGUUCUCUGGACCUUUCCUGACGCUGAGAAGCGAAAGCAUGGGGAGCGAACAGGAUUAGAUACCCCGGUAGUCCCU
rnacentral:rRNA from 1 species